rnacentral:rRNA from 1 species
AUUGAACGCUGGCGGCAUGCCUGACACAUGCAAGUCGAACGGGGCAGCAAUGCCUAGUGGCGGACGGGUGAGGAAUACGUAGGAAUCUGCCCUUAAGUGGGGGAUAACCAGGGGAAACCCUGACUAAUACCGCAUGAUCUCUUCGGAGCAAAGAGGGGGACCGCAAGGCCUCUCGCUUCUGGAUGAGCCUACGUCUGAUUAGCUAGUUGGUAGGGUAAAGGCCUACCAAGGCGACGAUCAGUAACUGGUCUGAGAGGAUGAUCAGUCACACCGGAAGUAGGACACGGUCCGGACUCCUACGGGAGGCAGCAGUGGGGAAUAUUGGACAAUGGGCGCAAGCCUGAACCAGCAAUGCCGUGUGUGUGAAGAAGGCCUUCGGGUUGUAAAGCACUUUAGCCUGGAAAGAAAAAACUUUGGUUAACACCCAAAGUCUUGACGGUACCAGGAGAAUAAGCACCGGCUAACUCUGUGCCAGCCGCCGCAGUAAGAC